rnacentral:misc_RNA from 1 species
GAUGAAGAACGUAGCGAAAUGCGAUACUUGGUGUGAAUUGCAGAAUCCCGUGAACCAUCGAGUCUUUGAACGCAAGUUGCGCCCGAAGCCACUAGGCCGAGGGCACGCCUGCCUGGGCGUCACACGUCGUUGCCCCCCCCCCAUCUACUCCUUCGGGAUUGCGGGGGGCGGAUGAUGGCCUCCCGUGCGCCUCGCCGCGCGGUUGGCAUAAAUGCCAAGUCCUCGGCGACGCACGCCACGACAAUCGGUGGUUGCGAAACCUCGGUUGCCCGUCGUGUGCGGUCGUCGCGCAUCGAGGGCUCGAAAAAAUUGCCGGGUUCCGGCUCGGCUUUCAACGCGACCCCAGGUCAGGCGGGGUUACCCGCUGAAUUUAAGCAUAUCAAUAAGCGGAGGA